GACGAACGCUGGCGGCGUGCUUAACACAUGCAAGUCGAACGGAAAGGCGCGGGCUUGGAGGCGUGCACGAGUGGCGAACGGGUGAGUAACACGUGAGUAACCUGCCCAUCACUCUGGGAUAACUUCAGGAAACGGGGGCUAAUACUGGAUAGGACCACCCGUUGCAUGGGGGGGGGGGGAAAGUUUCUGUCGGUGGUGGUUGGACUCGCGGCUUAUCAGCUGGUUGGUGGGGUAGUGGCUUACCAAGGCGUGGACGGGUAGCCGGCCUGAGAGGGUGACCGGCCACACUGGGACUGAGAUACGGCCCAGACUCCUACGGGAGGCAGCAGUGGGGAAUAUUGCACAAUGGGCGGAAGCCUGAUGCAGCGACGCCGCGUGCGGGAUGACGGCCUUCGGGUUGUAAACCGCUUUCGGCUGUGACGAAGCGAGAGUGACGGUAAUUGCUAAAGAAGCACCGGCUAACUACGUG
rnacentral:rRNA from 1 species